rnacentral:tRNA from 1 species
UGGCUCAGAGGUUAAAGCGUCUGCCUCCAAAGCAGGAGAUCCGGGUUCGAUCCCUGG